GAACAAGAUAAAAAGGAAACUCAGUUUCAUUUCAUGGUACAGCAUGAAAUAGCAUUAGAUGACUAGAUAUCAUUUCCAGGCUGAACAGCAGUCAUUCUUUGGGCAUAUUUUUUAAAAAUUGAACAAAAUAUUUCUGUAUGCUGCUCACAUUGAUGAUGUAGUUUUAUUAUAUCUUGCCAUGACAUUUUAGUAAGUUUUAAAAUAAUGCUGAAUCUAUUGUUGACUUCCACAGAAAAAGCAUUGGACUUGCAUCUUUUAAUAAAAGCUGAAUCAUGACAUCAUUCUCUACAGCAGAAACACCAUUACCUAAUUUAAACUGUAUUGUCCAUGCAUGAUACUUACUUUAACCUCUGGAAUUCAGCAAAGGCUUCAUCAAAUGCUUAAAAGAAGAAAAGGGUUAUAAAAGGGUUAUUUUUAUAGCACCAGUUUGUGGUAUAAGAAAGCUUAUUUAGUUUUCUAUGGAUUAACAGUAGGUUGAAAUCUUUGUUUAAAAUGGUGGCAGUAAUUAAAAUUAUAUCAUACAAAACUGACAAAUCUGAUCCACUAUAUGGCAGAACCGUCACUUUGCAAUGUAUCUCAAGCUAUUCCUAAUGAUACUGCAGCUUUGUAAGAUGCAUUCAUUAGUGUUUGGGACUGAUGGAAGAUUGGCUGGAUUUAAAGGUGUCAUGGAACCUUGAGAAGACUCUCACUAACAAGGAGGAAUGAGAAUUGUUCCACCCAAAAAAAUCCCAUUGAACAGCAGGACUUGCUUCUGAGUAAAUAUGCACAGGACUAGGAUCGAGAGAGACAGUUUUCUUUCUUUUUUUCUGAAGGAUACUUGGUUGUACACUAAAACAGAGAACUGGAAGAAGGGAGGGGGGCGGGGGCGGGCGGGCACCUGAACACAAUUUCUUUAACUUAAUAUUGCAUGCUGCUUAUUCUCCCUGCAGUACCAGAACAGCCCUGGUCUGAUCCUGUCGUUUCACGGCUUAUGAUGUUGUGGCAGCACAGUGCUAGCACACUGUCACACUUCUGCUACUGAAGCAAAACUGAAACUAAGAAGCAAAGCCCAGCUUUCUCCCUUCUUCUCUCUCUCACACACAAACAUGCUCAAGGACAUUUGUAAGGCAGGAUGGAAACUGAUUAAUUCUCAUAGGAGCAACUGCCAGUUUGGAUAUUCAGGAUAUGUGGGACAGUGUUCCAGCUCAACUUUGGGCUACAGGUUUGAAUGACCCCAAGAACUUGGCCUAAAUUUCAUCACAUUUAGCUGGGAGAGUGAGGAUAUGCUUGAUUUGCAGGUCCUUCCUAAAAAAAAAUCAUAAAGUACCCACUAAUCAUUUAGCUCACAAUCUCCUGGGGGAUGGGAAGGAAUAUAGUAAGUGCUGGAGCCCUGAAACUGCACACCUCUCACAAGUGAGGUACAGGAAUGCAACGCUAUUUUUAAAACUGCAACUAACUGGGCCUCAGGAGGAAAAAAAAUCAGUUUUAGAAUGGGAAAUAACUGAAAAAGCCAGGAAAUCACUGAACAACUUAUAGGAAGGAAGUGAUGAUGUCACGGACACCUCAUAUCACUGGCAAGAGCUUGUUCACUUACUUGUGCAACCAGCUUAUUCUCAGAUCUUCCAAGUAGUAAUUAACAAAGGAAUAUAAUCGGAUACCCUCUUCUGUGCUCUGGAUUUUCAGGUUUGUUGCAGAUAAAGCUGAAAAUACAAUACUUUUUUUGUAGUCUCGCAGUCGUUUGCAAAGUAGUACAAAUGAGUCAUUUAUCAGGAAGGGAAAUUAAAUACUCACCAAUCAUUUUGCAUACUUCCGUCAUCAAAUCUGCAAAAGCUGUGGAAACAAAUCCAGAGACUCAGUUCCCAGAUCAGACAUGUCUGCUUAUAACUGAACGGUGCCCUGAAAUUCCCUGGCUAAUCUGGAGCAGUCCUACAAAUGGAUUCUUGUAGUUAAAUCUGAGCUGACUCUCAAAACAUGCUAUAAAUAUUUCCAAGGCAUUUCUGUGCAUUAUCCUUAAGUUUAAUGUUGUUUCAACCCCUUUACUUCUGUUUAGUUUUGCUGAGGAUGUUGCCAGCUUUAUCUUGCAAUCUGAGAUGUGAAUAUGAGUUUCCCAUGACAUCACAAGAUAUAUCUCUUGGAAGUAAUGCUGUCGCUACUGCUAUUAAUGCUUUAGCUACUUUGGCUUCUAGAUAGAGAAUUCAACCUUGGAAAAUGGAAAGUGUUCACAGUAUGAAUUAGAUUUAGAAAAUUUCUGGAAUGAUAGAAGUUCCUUCUAGAUUAAUAUGGGCUUAGUCCAUAGAGAGAACAAUCCUAAACCCCAGAAUUGAUGGCUUUAUGAAUGUCUGCAAAGCCACAGAAGCCCCUCUGCCAGAGAUGGUGGGCACCUUUUCCUUGGAGGCUCCAGCUAUGUCCACAGACAGCUCCAUGGAUGUAAAUCUACUCUACUGAUGUUCCUGCUGGAAGCAGGCCCUAAAAUGGAGUACUCCAAGACAGCUUUGAAUCUGCCUUAUCUGAAGGUAGUUCAUUUCCCCAGUGGGCUCCACCUGUGGACCUCUCAGCUACACCAGCCUGAAGCUGGAAGUCCGUGCUAUUAUUUAAAUUGUUAGAAGGGAUGUAAAACAAACAAAGAAUCACUAGGUUAAAAAGCCCAGUAAAGACCCCUUACUUCCCACCCUGGUCAGAAUGAGCCACCAGGACUCGGAAGUGAUGGAUGCUCUGCCAUUUUGCCCAGCCUCCAUGUGCUCUCUGAGUAGCUGUGCUGGCUGGCUGGCUGGCUGAAUGAAUGAAUGCUAUCACUUCCAGUGAUGUUAUUCAAUAUAAAAAACCAGGAAAAUGGAUAACUCAAUCUGUGCUACCCUUAAGUCAUUAUGAAAUUAAGGCCACAAUCCUCUUCAAAAUUGGUCGUUAGCAAGCCAGACUGAAUUUAGCAAAGCUUAUUUCUAAAUCAGCAUUCACAGAACUGGGCUACACAGAAUUGGGCUGUAAUUUGGAAUGACAUUCUCACCUCCUUCUUGAAGCUUCAAUAUGCUCUUGUCCUUUCCUCGGUCAUCUUUCAGUAUUACUUCAUAAACACCAGCAUCUUUCUUAGAAAACUAUGAACAAAACAAUAUCAGUUACUAGCAAUAAAACAAUUCUUUUGGACAUUCUGUAUGUGACCUCUGGAGAUAAUAAAAAAGGACUAUGAAAGAAAUCAAAAGAUGCCUUUAUUGGAAUUUGAAUGUAUACAUUAUUAUUUCUGCACUGCAGAAAAGUUCCUAACCUUUUAUUCAUGCAAUAGCCUGUUAAAGGACAAGAAUGUGAAAUAUAGUGAGAGCAGAGGCCUGACAUAUGAACUUGGGUUUAGGGGGCAGAAUGAUGGUGGAUGUAAGGGAAAUUGGAUCCCUAAAUAAUAAUAAAAAAAUAGAAGGUAGCACAAUACACAGAACAUGGAGCUAUAAAAUAUGAGCAGCCACAUUGGCUCAUCAUGCUCAGCCACCCUGCAAGUAAGCUAAUGGUUUCCCCUCCUAUCUUUUCUGGAAACCAUGAUCUCCAACGUACCCUACAAAGGUAAAGUAGCAGCUGGUUUUUGAAAACAUAAAACAAAGGUAGAAUAUGCUGUUCCACACAUUCAACACAGCCCAGUGUAUCAGCCAGCAUAUGCAUUGUGGAGUAAAUGCAUAGAUUAUAUUCACAUCCUGAUACAUUUUGCUGCUUGAAAAAAGCACCCUGACGAUAUCUGACAAUCAGUCUGACACAGUCUGUGCACUGUUCUCUCUGAAAGUGCUGUUCAUUUAAGAAAACUGGCACAGCUAAAGUGGACUUCAUCACUGAAGUGGACCGCAAGGGAGAAAGGAUCACUCACCUCUGUUAUCAGCAGAGUACAUACACCAUCCUGAAAGUCAUGUUUUUCAUCAACCAUAAUCUCUCUUUCAUCUUUGUACCAAAUAAUGUAUGUUUCUUUUUUAAUAUUAGCUACCUAAAAUGAAAGGAAAGUAUAGUAAGAUGGCUGGACAAAAUAUGAUUCACAAUCAAUAUGUCAGAUGACCAGUUCUUCAUAGCAGCCUCAAUAAAACAAGCAGGAAAUGAGAAUGGAUGGCUCAUUCUAUUAUUGGGCUACUUUCUUCAGGCAGUUAACAAGCAUCCUAUAUUUUUAAAGAAAUUAUUACCAGUUAAUUUCAAAAGGAGCAAAAGCAAUGUUACAAUAGUGAGGUACUUAUACCCUGGGGAAUGAUGGCCUGCCACAAUUUACUCUCUUCUGCUCUGAAGCAAUGUAAUGCUAUUUCAAAGAAUAGUGAGAUGCAUGUGAAAGCUAUUAUUGUGACCCUCAGUUAGGAUGUAAGAGAAGUGUCCUCAAAUCUAUAAAUGCCUCUGAGAAGUAGUUGACUAUAAACAAAACUUGUAUUUGUUACUCUUGCCUCGAGUCCGAGAUGCAGUUCUUUCUUACCUUGCAUUUCAAUAAAACAUUGCAUUCAGCGGUAACUUCCCAUCCCAGAUACUCAACAAAAUGUGGACCUUUUUGAAAAGAUUUGAAAAUCAAUCAGCUCAGAAAUUAUGACAAACAGAAUCAAAUGACUGUUUCAUGCUAAAGUUAAUUUUCUCUCUGUAUGCUUUAUAUUUUCUAAAUUUUACUUUGCUAUCAUUCGGCAAAGGCACAUUCUUUUUUUAAUUGCAAAUACAAGAAUCUAAAUUAAAUUAGCUAAACUGUUUCUAAGAGGUUAUGUGUUACCUUGCUUCCUGAACCAUUCUUGCCUCUGGAAUUGUGCUUCAUUCUGUAGUUUCUGGAACACUAGGGAUUGAAAAGGAGAAGAUCAAAAUAAAGCUAUAGUUGAAAGAUUA